GAUGAACGCUGGCGGCGUGCCUAAUACAUGCAAGUCGAGCGAACAGACGAGGAGCUUGCUCUUCUGACGUUAGCGGCGGACGGGUGAGUAACACGUGGAUAACCUACCUAUAAGACUGGGAUAACUUCGGGAAACCGGAGCGAAUACCGGAUAAUAUAUUGAAUCGCAUGGUUCAAUAGUGAAAGACGGUUUUGCUGUCACUUAUAGAUGGAUCCGCGCUGCAUUAGCUAGUUGGUAAGGUAACGGCUUACCAAGGGAACGAUGGGUAGCCGACCUGAGAGGGUAAGCGGACACACUGGAACUGGGAAGCGGUCCAGACUCCUACGGGAGGCAGCAGUAGGGAAUCUUCCGGAAUGGGCGAAAGCCUGACGGAGCAACGCCGCGUGAGUGAUGAAGGUCUUCGGAUCGUAAAACUCUGUUAUUAGGGAAGAACAAAUGUGUAAGUAACUAUGCACGUCUUGACGGUACCUAAUCAGAAAGCCACGGCUAACUACGUG
rnacentral:rRNA from 1 species